ACCCAACUGACGAGUCCCAAACAGGACGAAACGUGCAUCCUACAU
rnacentral:hammerhead_ribozyme from 1 species